rnacentral:rRNA from 1 species
UCCGUAGGUGAACCUGCGGAAGGAUCAUUGUCGUAUCCCACCACUCGAGACACUCGCGAACGGUUGACCCCUGCCAUCUCGGAGGGGGGCGGAUUCUCCUCGGGCUCUUGUCUCCCCUUCGAGAUAUUUUCCCUGUCUUCGACACGUUCGAGCGGUUGGAGCCUCCCUACCGAUCGAGCUGUCGACCGACGGGACGAUGAAUCUUCCGGCGCGGCAUGCGUCAAGGAAAACAGAAGUGAUGGCCUGCGUGAUCCAUUUGUGCGGUGGUUGCACGCGGUGCUUGUCACCUAAUACGAAAUGAGUUUAAAUGACUCCCGGCAACGGAUAUCUAGGCUCUCGCAUCGAUGAAGAACGUAGCGAAAUGCGAUACGUGGUGUGAAUUGCAGAAUCCCGUGAACCAUCGAAUCUUUGAACGCAAGUUGCGCCCGAGGCCUCUAGGUCGAGGGCACGCCUGCCUGGGCGUCACGCCCUACGUCGCUCCCUGACCCCCCCAUAGAGUGUGGGGGGUGUUGAGGGAUGCGGAGAUUGGCCCACCGUGCACGUGCGCGGCAGGUUGAAGAACUCGACCCUCCUGUCGGGCGAUUAACGGCGAGUGGUGGACGAUGCUCAUCGUCGCCGUAGUGCACGCCCGCGCGUAAGGAUGGGUUGACUGUGAGGGAACCCAAUCAUCGGAGAGAACGAUCGUAUCUUAAAGAUAGGGUAGCUCUUUGAUCGCGACCCCAGGUCAGGCGGGGCCACCCGCCGAAUUUAAGCAUAUCAAUCAGCGGAGGA